CGUUAGCUCCGAAAGCCACGGCUCAAGGCCACAACCUCCAAGUAGACAUCGUUUACGGCGUGGACUACCAGGGUAUCUAAUCCUGUUUGCUCCCCACGCUUUCGCAUCUGAGUGUCAGUAUCUGUCCAGGGGGCCGCCUUCGCCACUGGUAUUCCUUCAGAUCUCUACGCAUUUCACCGCUACACCUGAAAUUCUACCCCCCUCUACAGUACUCUAGUUUGCCAGUUUCAAAUGCAGUUCCGAGGUUGAGCCCCGGGCUUUCACAUCUGACUUAACAAACCACCUGCAUGCGCUUUACGCCCAGUAAUUCCGAUUAACGCUCGCACCCUCCGUAUUACCGCGGCUGCUGGGCA
rnacentral:rRNA from 1 species